GAGUGCGUCCUGGCGAGUCUCAGCCCCCAAGCGGGUGGAACGCACCAAGGGUCUCAUCCGCGACGAAGGGCUUUAACGCUCAGGGUCAGCAACCUCUGAGAGCUCUUGGGGACUUGCGCGCCCUUGGAUGCUCUUGCGUUCAACAGGGCUAGGAGACUACCGGCUGGGGCGAGGAAUGCAGGCGCCUAGAGCCUUGGAGCUCCUGAAACGUUCCUGCCGCCUCCGGAAAGCAAGGGCAGUUUACCGAAGUGACUGAGGCCAAGUAUUUGCAGCACGGGCAGGGACCAGUAACUGAUUUUCAGGCCUUUUGAGAGGAAGAGGAAGAGAGAGGAAGAGAAGGAUUUCUAAUAGUAGAUAUUCACUGUCAUGGACUCUUUAGGAAACAGCAACAAAGACAAGAUUAAGAACACCAAAUUGUGUGACUAUCCACACAAAAAAGCAUCUUCAUAAGAACCAAAAAUCAGGUAAGCCAUCACAGUACGCUAUUUUAGUUUUAUAUCACUGAAAGGGACACCUAAGAAGGUAGAAAAGACAGUCUUGAAUUGCUGAUGCAACUCCUCCCCCAUCACCCCAACACUCCAGCAGCAGUGGACGCAUGGCGUGGAGUGAGAAUCUGUGUGCUUCGACACACCCUGGGACAGAAGAGACCCCACUACCUUGAAGCGAAGGACCCAGUCAUGGAAAGAACCUUUGGGCCCUGAAUGA
rnacentral:sRNA from 1 species